GAUGAACGCCGGCGGCGUGCCUAAUACAUGCAAGUCGAGCGAACGGACGAGAAGCUUGCUUCUCUGAUGUUAGCGGCGGACGGGUGAGUAACACGUGGAUAACCUACCUAUAAGACUGGGAUAACUUCGGGAAACCGGAGCUAAUACCGGAUAAUAUUUUGAACCGCAUGGUUCAAAAGUGAAAGACGGUCUUGCUGUCACUUAUAGAUGGAUCCGCGCUGCAUUAGCUAGUUGGUAAGGUAACGGCUUACCAAGGCAACGAUGCAUAGCCGACCUGAGAGGGUGAUCGGCCACACUGGAACUGAGACACGGUCCAGACUCCUACGGGAGGCAGCAGUAGGGAAUCUUCCGCAAUGGGCGAAAGCCUGACGGAGCAACGCCGCGUGAGUGAUGAAGGUCUUCGGAUCGUAAAACUCUGUUAUUAGGGAAGAACAUAUGUGUAAGUAACUGUGCACAUCUUGACGGUACCUAAUCAGAAAGCCACGGCUAACUACGUGCCAGCAGCCGCGGUAAUACGUAGGUGGCAAGCGUUAUCCGGAAUUAUUGGGCGUAAAGCGCGCGUAGGCGGUUUUUUAAGUCUGAUGUGAAAGCCCACGGCUCAACCGUGGAGGGUCAUUGGAAACUGGAAAACUUGAGUGCGGAAGAGGAAAGUGGAAUUCCAUGUGUAGCGGUGAAAUGCGCAGAGAUAUGGAGGAACACCAGUGGCGAAGGCGACUUUCUGGUCUGUAACUGACGCUGAUGUGCGAAAGCGUGGGGAUCAAACAGGAUUAGAUACCCUGGUAGUCCACGCCGUAAACGAUGAGUGCUAAGUGUUAGGGGGUUUCCGCCCCUUAGUGCUGCAGCUAACGCAUUAAGCACUCCGCCUGGGGAGUACGACCGCAAGGUUGAAACUCAAAGGAAUUGACGGGGACCCGCACAAGCGGUGGAGCAUGUGGUUUAAUUCGAAGCAACGCGAAGAACCUUACCAAAUCUUGACAUCUUUUGACAACUCUAGAGAUAGAGCCUUCCCCUUCGGGGGACAAAGUGACAGGUGGUGCAUGGUUGUCGUCAGCUCGUGUCGUGAGAUGUUGGGUUAAGUCCCGCAACGAGCGCAACCCUUAAGCUUAGUUGCCAUCAUUAAGUUGGGCACUCUAAGUUGACUGCCGGUGACAAACCGGAGGAAGGUGGGGAUGACGUCAAAUCAUCAUGCCCCUUAUGAUUUGGGCUACACACGUGCUACAAUGGACAAUACAAAGGGCAGCGAAACCGCGAGGUCAAGCAAAUCCCAUAAAGUUGUUCUCAGUUCGGAUUGUAGUCUGCAACUCGACUACAUGAAGCUGGAAUCGCUAGUAAUCGUAGAUCAGCAUGCUACGGUGAAUACGUUCCCGGGUCU
rnacentral:rRNA from 1 species